rnacentral:rRNA from 1 species
GAUGAACGCUGGCGGCGCGCCUAACACAUGCAAGUCGAACGGUUAAAGCACCUUUUAGGUGUGUAUAAAGUGGCGAACGGCUGAGUAACACGUGGGCAACCUGCCCUCCUCUUGGGGAUAGCCUCGGGAAACCGAGGAUAAUACCCGAUACUUCAAUGUGGCCGCAUGACGACAUUGAGAAAGCUUUUGCGGAGAAGGAUGGGCCCGCGGCCUGUUAGCUUGUUGGUGGGGUAGAGGCUCACCAAGGCAAUGAUACGUAGCCGACCUGAGAGGGUGAUCGGCCACACUGGGACUGAGACACGGCCCAGACUCCUACGGGAGGCAGCAGGAGGGAAUCUUCUGCAAUGGACGAAAGUCUGACGGAGCAACGCCGCGUGAGUGAAGAAGGUUUUCGGAUCGUAAAACUCUGUUGUUAAAGAAGAACAAGGAUGAGAGUAACUGCUCAUCCCCUGACGGUAUUUAACCAGAAAGCCACGGCUAACUACGUGCCAGCAGCCGCGGUAAUACGUAGGUGGCAAGCGUUGUCCGGAUUUAUUGGGCGUAAAGCGAGCGCAGGCGGUUCUUUAAGUCUGAUGUGAAAGCCCCCGGCUCAACCGGGGAGGGUCAUUGGAAACUGGAGAACUUGAGUGCAGAAGAGGAGAGUGGAAUUCCACGUGUAGCGGUGAAAUGCGUAGAUAUGUGGAGGAACACCAGUGGCGAAGGCGACUCUCUGGUCUGUAACUGACGCUGAGGCUCGAAAGCGUGGGGAGCAAACAGG